rnacentral:rRNA from 1 species
CCUACGGGAGGCAGCAGUGAGGAAUAUUGGGCAAUGGAGGCAACUCUGACCCAGCCAUGCCGCGUGCAGGAAGACGGCCCUCUGGGUUGUAAACUGCUUUUGUUUGGGAAUAAACCCUUCUACGUGUAGAAGGCUGAAGGUACCAUACGAAUAAGGAUCGGCUAACUCCGUGCCAGCAGCCGCGGUAAU